rnacentral:rRNA from 1 species
AUUGCAGGCUGCAACUCGCCUGCAUGAAGCUGGAAUUGCUAGUAAUCGCGGAUCAGCAUGCCGCGGUGAAUACGUUCCCGGGCCUUGUACACACCGCCCGUCACACCAUGAGAGUCGGGAACACCCGAAGUCCGUAGUCUAACCCGCAAGGGAGGGCGCGGCCGAAGGUGGGUCCGGUAAUUGGGGUGAAGUCGUAACAAGGUAAC